CUCUUGGAUUUGCCAGUCAUGCCAAAGUCCCUGGGCUGGAGUCCCCAUCCAGGCAUCUGUCCAGGUCCUCUUCACAUGACUGGUGACUGCAGGCGGGUUUAGCAAAUGUCUUGCAGAGGAGAGCUGCAAAAACCGCAGCAUCCCAGCAGUGCACGAGGCCGGCACACCACCUGCCUGGCUCCUCCGGCUCUGCUGGCAGCACCGGGAUGCUCCUUGGCUCGCUUAGCAGGGAGAGGCCACCCAAAUCGGGGGGGCAGGAUGCUGCGGCCCCAGGGUUGCUGGGAGCACUGGUAAGACUUGAAAAUAGUAUCAGCGUCACCGGGAGAGUAAAUGCUGUGUUUUUUCAGCUAGGAGACAGCCCUGGCGCAGCUUUCCCUGCAGAAAUCCCUCACAGAGCCUUGAACAUCCCAGGAUUUAUUUGCCAGAGAGCUGGAGGCCACCAAUUAAUGAGGCUGUGAUGGAAAAGUUGCACAGAGGAGCCCGAAAGUGAUGUUUUGCCAUAAGGGGAUCUGACACAUGAGCCUCACCUCUGGAUGGACGUUGGGAUCCUCUAACAAGGGGAAGCUGAGCGAGACCAGCCCCACCAGGACUCCCUGGAGAGGAUUUAGGGCUGGGGUUUGGCGUGGGAGGGCUCAGGGUGGAUGCCGGCAUGGGGAGAUGCUGCGCCGGGAGGCAACGGCACGGCCAGACAAACAACACGGCCAGACAAACAACCGCCCGCUGGGAAUCGGACGGCGGCAAAUGAGCACAUGGCCGGGCUCCCCAGGCACCAGGGUCUUGCUCACGCCGCAGCACUGCCGGUUGUUAGAAAGGUGGUGUUAAGCUGUUGGUGAGGACGAGGUGUUUGGGGUUUUUUUCCGGUGUAGCAAGUGUUUGUUUCUGUAAUUUGAUGUAUUACAGUGAUUGAAAACUUUAAUAUAAAUAUUAAUCCAAGGAAAAUGGGGAUUUGUUGACGUUUGAGCUUUCAUCGGAGAGAAU